rnacentral:rRNA from 1 species
UCCUACGGGAGGCAGCAGUGGGGAAUUUUCCGCAAUGGGCGAAAGCCUGACGGAGCAAGACCGCGUGAGGGAGGAAGGCUCUUGGGUCGUAAACCUCUUUUGUCAGGGAAGAACACAAUGACGGUACCUGAGGAAUCAGCAUCGGCUAACUCCGUGCCAGCAGCCGCGGUAAUACGGAGGAUGCAAGCGUUAUCCGGAAUUAUUGGGCGUAAAGCGUCCGCAGGUGGCAGUUCAAGUCUGCUGUCAAAGACCGGGGCUUAACCCCGGAAAGGCAGUGGAAACUGAACAGCUAGAGUGCGGUAGGGGUAGAGGGAAUUCCCGGUGUAGCGGUGAAAUGCGUAGAGAUCGGGAAGAACAUCGGUGGCGAAAGCGCUCUGCUGGACCACAACUGACACUCAGGGACGAAAGCUAGGGGAGCGAAUGGGAUUAGAUACCCCAGUAGUCCUAGCCGUAAACGAUGGAUACUAGGUGUGGCUUGUAUCGACCCGAGCCGUGCCGUAGCUAACGCGUUAAGUAUCCCGCCUGGGGAGUAC